CCUACGGGAGGCAGCAGUGAGGAAUAUUGGUCAAUGGACGUAAGCCUGAACCAGCCAAGUCGCGUGAGGGAUGACGGCCCUAUGGGUUGUAAACUUCUUUUAUAAGGGAAUAAAGCAUGGGAUGCGUACUGUUUUGUAUCUACCUUAUGAAUAAGGAUCGGCUAACUCCGUGCCAGCAGCCGCGGUAAUACGGAGGAUCCGAGCGUUAUCCGGAUUUAUUGGGUUUAAAGGGUGCGUAGGUGGAUUGUUAAGUCAGUUGUGAAAGUUUGUGGCUCAACCGUAGAAUUGCAGUUGAAACUGGCAGGCUUGAGUACAGUAGAGGUGGGCGGAAUGCGUGGUGUAGCGGUGAAAUGCUUAGAUAUCACGAAGAACCCCGAUUGCGAAGGCAGCUCACUGGACUGCAACUGACACUGAUGCUCGAAAGUGUGGGUAUCAAACAGGAUUAGAUACCCGAGUAGUC
rnacentral:rRNA from 1 species